rfam:Gorilla gorilla gorilla genomic chromosome, chr8, whole genome shotgun sequence
GCUGGGCAUGGUGGUGCAUGCCUGUAAUCCCAGCUACUCGGGAGGCUGAGGCAGGAGAAUUGCUUGAACCCAGGAGGUAGUGGUUGCAGUGAGCUGAGAUCGCACCACUGCACUCCAGCCUGGGUGACAGAGUGAGACUCUGUCUCAG